GAAACAAGAGAGUUGCUAUGCCAUUAUUUGACCUCAAAAAUGUACUGUUUAAAGAACAAAAAAUGAAGCAAAGCCGCCUUGUGCAUUUUAAGCCAGCCUCAUGACUGUGUGCAUGUCUGACUUGUGAUUUUCGAAUGCUUGGAGUUGGCUAUAUUGAUCCAUUCCCUGUAGAGAGAUAAAUAGGGCAGGGUCCCCAAGGUUUCAACUUUGGUAUAAAUGGCUCUGUAGGUAUCAUCAAUGAAGCUGCCAAGAUUUGGAGUACAAUAUAGUGAACAGAUGAGUGAAGCUGGCUACUAUGGGAGCAGUAACGCAUGUGACAGACCCCGCUGGGUUAUGUCACAUCUGUCAUCCAGCCUGACCGAGUGAGACGAAGCCCAGCAACGCACGUGUCGCUUUGUAAUCACCUAUGGGAAGACGUGCCGCUGAAGGGAGCUGGGAGUAGACG